GAUGAACGCUGGCGGCGUGCCUAAUACAUGCAAGUCGAGCGAACAGACGAGGAGCUUGCUCCUCUGACGUUAGCGGCGGACGGGUGAGUAACACGUGGAUAACCUACCUAUAAGACUGGGAUAACUUCGGGAAACCGGAGCUAAUACCGGAUAAUAUAUUUAACCGCAUGGUUCAAUAGUGAAAGACGGUUUUGCUGUCACUUAUAGAUGGAUCCGCGCCGCAUUAGCUAGUUGGUAAGGUAACGGCUUACCAAGGCAACGAUGCGUAGCCGACCUGAGAGGGUGAUCGGCCAAAAUGGAACUGAGACACGGUCCAGACGCCUACGGGAGGCAGCAGUAGGGAAUCUUCCGCAAUGGGCGAAAGCCUGACGGAGCAACGCCGCGUGAAUGAUGAAGGUCUUCGGAUCGUAAAACUCUGUUAUUAGGGAAGAACAAAUGUGUAAGUAACUAUGCACGUCUUGACGGUACCUAAUCAGAAAGCCACGGCUAACUACGUG
rnacentral:rRNA from 1 species